rnacentral:rRNA from 1 species
UACGUAGGGGGCAAGCGUUGUCCGGAUUUAUUGGGCGUAAAGAGCGUGUAGGCGGCUAGGUAGGUCCGUUGUGAAAACUCGAGGCUCAACCUCGAGCUGUCGAUGGAAACCAUCUGGCUAGAGUCCGGAAGAGGAGAGUGGAAUUCCUGGUGUAGCGGUGAAAUGCGCAGAUAUCAGGAAGAACACCAAUGGCGAAAGCAGCUCUCUGGGACGGUACUGACGCUGAGACGCGAAAGCGUGGGGAGCGAACAGG